rnacentral:rRNA from 1 species
UACGUAGGGUGCAAGCGUUGUCCGGAUUUAUUGGGCUUAAAGGGCGCGUAGGCGGCCUUUUAAGUCAGCUGUGAAAGUCUGCAGCUUAACUGUAGAACUGUCAUUGAUACUGUAAGGCUUGAGUACUGAUGAGGUAGGCGGAAUUGAUAGUGUAGCGGUGAAAUGCAUAGAUAUUAUCAAGAACACCGAUUGCGAAGGCAGCUUACUAAGGAGUUACUGACACUGAGGCACGAAAGCGUGGGGAUCAAACAGG